UCAAUUCCCGAAGGACAAGAAAAUUGGAAGACUGUGGUUAAAGGCCAUUUGACGCGAAAAAAGUACUCCCACAAAAAGUUCGAGGUUAUGUCGUAAACACUUUGUGGAAUCUGACUAAGAAAACAUUAGUAAAUACACAGGUGUCAAACAUUAACAUUAAUAUCUGAAGAAAGGUGCUGUACCAUCUAUAUUUUCAUGGAAUAUGAAACCAGUUUCUGAAGAAACAAAAAAUAAAGAACAAAAGUUACAAACUCGUAACCUUAAAAAACAGCUUUUUAGCCUGCCCAACACUUCUCAAUACUGUGAAGAUAUAGUACCACAGAGCUAUUACUUGCAGACGAUGAGACAGUGUAAUACUACACCGGGUUGGAAACAACAUCUAAGUUUUCAUUAGUUUUAAUCACACUUUUGCCAAUGUCAAAUGAUAUAAGGUAUCGCUGGAGUAGAGUGGUCGGCAUAUCAAUAGAAGAUCAAUUUUUAAUGUUACUAAUUAAGCUUAGAAGAAACACAAUAGAUUUUGAAUUAAGUAAAAUUUUCGGUGUAAGUAAAACUGAAGUGUCUAAUUUUGUUGUAACAUGGAUAAAUUUUGUCAGUGAUAUCUAGAACCUAAUUGACAUUUGGCCUAGCCGCAGCUUAGUAAAUUAUUAUAUGCCUAAUUGUUUUAAAACACAUUAUCCCUACACAAGGGUGAUUAUAGAUGGGACUGAAAUAGGCAUACAGAAGCCUAGUCAACCUGAUGCUCAAAAAGCGUCAUUUAGUUCUUAUAAACAUAAAAAUACCUUGAAAUUUUUGGUAGGAGCUUCACCAGGGGGAUUAUUAUCAUAUGUUUCAAACGUCUACGCUGGUUCUGCAAGUGAUCGACAGAUAGUAGAACGAAGUAAGCUGCUGCAGAUUUGUGAUUCUGGAGAUAGUAUUAUGGCAGACAGAGGUUUUAAUGUACAGGAUCUGUUUGCCUCUAAAUGAAUUAGUAUAAAUAUCCCAUCUUUAAAAGGUAAAUCACAAAUCCCAGGUGUUCAGUUAACGAUAGAUCAAAAAUUAGCUAGUCAAAGGGUUCACAUAGAACGAUUAAUUUCAUAUGUGUAAUGUUAUGUAAUUUUAGAGAAGGAAUUGUCAAUAAAAAUAAUGAAAAAUA